AGCCAGUUCCAACAUGGUGGUCUGCUGGUCGGGUCUCUCUCUGUUGAUGGUCUCCAGGUUCUCCUCCUGGUUCUGGGUGUUGUUGUUCUGCGGGGGGUUCGGGUUCGGGUCCGGCAGCAGCCAGGAGGACCCAGCUCCUCCUCCGGUGGUUCUGGUUCUGGGUCUGCGCCUGGAGGACCCGGUGGAUCUGGUGUUUAUGAAGGACCGGAUCAUCUCCGCGCCGGAAGGAGCCUCGUUCCGGAUCCGGCUGUUCGGUACCGAGCUGCUGAACGGGUCCGGGUCCGGGUCCGGGUCCGGGUCCUGGGUCGGGUUCGCUGCUGGAGGAGCCGCUGGGGGGGUCGGGGACACUCCGGAUCCCUGCGGGGUCCAGUCCAACCGGGACCGGUCCAGCUUCCAGGUCUCGGACCGGUUCACUCCGGAUGAGAGGUUCAGCGGGCUCAUCACGGUCCAGGUCCACAGGAGGACGGACCAGAACCAGAACCACCACCACCUGUGUGUUCUGAGCAGCGGGUCCUGGUCCACGGCGGGACCGGACCGGUUCCGGAUCAGCCCGGACCCGGGUCCUCCGCCGGACUACAUCCCGCCCUGGGGUCUGGGCGUGCUGGUGGUUCUGCUGCUUCUGGUCUCGGGUCUGCUGAGGACCGUGAACCUCAGUCUGCUGUGGCUGGACCCGGUGGAGCUCUACGUGCUGCACAGCCUCGGGUCCGAGGACGAGAAGAGGGCCGCCAAGCGCCUGGAGCCGGUCCGCAGGAGGGGCAACUUCCUGACAUGUUCUCUGCUGUUCCUGUGUGCGUUGGGACACUCGGUCCUCGGCGUCCUCCUGUACCGGGCGCUGGGCUCUAUCGUCUCCGCCGUGUUCACCAGCGCCUUCCUCAUCUUCUUCCUGGCUGAGCUGGCUCCCCACAUCCUGUGCUCUGGUUACGGGUUCCAGCUGGCGCCGGGUCUGACCUGGCUGGCCCAGGUUUGUCUGGUGCUCACCUGUCCCCUGUCCUGUCCUCUGGGGCUGAUCCUGGACCUGGCCCUGAGGAGGGACAUCAGUACAUGUGGGAUCAGGGAGAGGGCCAUGGAGAUGAUCCGAACCAGCGUCAAUGACCCGUACAGUGAGUUUGUGAAGGAGGAGUUCAGCCGCGGGAUGCUGCGCAGUAAGACGGUGGAGGACAUCCUGACCCCCCUGAAGGACUGCUUCAUGCUGGCCAGCUCGGCCGUCCUGGACUUCUCCACCAUGUCUGAGAUCAUGCAGAGCGGAUACACCCGGGUGCCCAUCUACGAGGAGGAGAAGUCCAACAUCGUGGAAAUCCUUUAUGUAAAAGAUUUGGCUCUGGUGGACCCGGACGACUCCACCCCCAUGACGACCAUCACCAAGUUCUACAAUCACCCGCUGCACUACGUCUUCAACGACACCAAGCUGGACGCCAUGCUGGAGGAGUUCAAGAAAGGUAACUCUCACAUGGCCAUCGUCCAGAAGGUGAACAACGAGGGCGAGGGGGAUCCGUUCUACGAGGUGCUGGGAUUGGUCACUUUAGAGGACGUCAUCGAGGAGAUCAUCAAAUCAGAGAUCCUCGAUGAAUCUGACGGCUACUUGGACAGGAAGGUGAAGCGUCCUCUCGCUCCGCUAGAGAUUCCUCUGGAGCCUCGCAGCGUCCACGAGGAGUUUUCUCUCUUCAAGCCUCCUGAAGGAGAACCCAAGAUCAGGACCUCGCCUCAACUCCUGCUGGCUACGCACCGCUUCCUGUCCAGAGAGGUGUCGCACUUCAGCCCCGGACGCGUCUCUGAGAAGGUCUUGUUCCACCUGCUCCGUCACCCCAGUGUCAACCAGGAAGUGCAUUUUGACCCAAACAACCGGCUGAGCCCGGAUCACUAUCUCUACACGCGCAACCACCCGGUGGACUACUUCAUCCUGCUGCUGCAGGGUCGAGUGGAGGUGGAGAUCGGUAAAGAGGGGCUGAAGUUUGAGAACGGAGCGUUUACGUACUACGGCGUGUCGGCGCUAACGCUGCCAUCCUCAGUGCACCAGUCUCCGGUGUCGACCCAGCGUCACUCUCCCAGGGAUCCCUUUGAGUCCGCCGACGCUACGAGCCCGUCCAGCUACUGUCCCGACUACACCGUCCGAGCUCUCACCGACCUGCAGCUCAUACGGGUGACACGUCUCCAGUAUCUGAACGCUCUCAUGGCGUCGCGGGUCGGUCAGAGUCCAGAUCCUCCUGAGAUUAAGAUCCUUCCCAACAGUCAGACCAAGCUGCUCAACGAGAGAAACACAACACAACAAGAGUUCCCUGUGAACUUUUCAUUCUUUGAUACCAUUGAGAACUACUGUUAGUACCUUUUUUGCAUGAGUUUCUGCUUCUCCCUGAAAUCAUCUCACUUCUCUCUGUUGGGUGGCAGCAGUAGCGCCCAGGAGAGCUCCACAGAAGAGGAGGCUCAUGGGUAAUGCGGCUCUGACCUUGCUGCAAAAACAAGUAGAGAUUUUUUUUGUUUUGUUUUGUUUUUAUUGCUGAAUCAUCAUCUAUGGCUGGAACGUAGUUAUUGGACACGACUGGAGUGAUUUUAUGUGUUCUGUAGAUCCACUACUCACACGUCUCAUCUCCAUCCCCCAUUCCUUUUGUUGUGAUUAUUAUUAUUAUUAUUAUUUCAUGCUGUUUUAUACACUUUGGACUAUAUGUGUAUAUAUACAUAAAUACAUUUUAUUUUAAUUUGGCGGUGCCUUUUCUUCCAGGUUCGUACUAAACUCGAUGCAUUGCCAUGAUUCCUCUCUGUCUGGGUGCCAAAGCUACGUGUGUGUGUGUGUUGUCUGUGUGUGUGUGUGUACUGACGCAUCCGUCCGUUUGAGACACUAAAAUAGUCGGUUAAAAGCAGAUUUGCUAUUUUAAAAGGCUGUAAGGUUUUUAUACCCUCACAUAACAUUUGAUCAGCUUUCAGCGGUUAGUUGAUAGUUUAAAUAUUUAGUUAGAAAGUGAGCGGUAAAGUGAGGACUUCCAAAGUGGCCCUGGAUAUAACCAAAGUCAAAUAUGAAAUAAUAACAAAGAGUGAUAGUUUUUUAUUGUUGCAGAAGUUCAACAGAAGCUUCAAAAGGCCUCAAUGUGACGCUAAGAGCGGUUGGAAGUAAAAACACUUAGUCGAUUGUCAGGAAAAAUAACUAUUUUGCUAAUCAAUGAAUCGUCUUAGUCGUGAAGAUUUGCUGCUUUUAUUUGUCUUAUAUGAUGAUAAACUAAAUGUCUUUGGGGCUGUUUCUAAAACGAGACAUUUUAACAUGUUAAUUUGGGCAAGUUAGGAUUUCACUAUUUUAUAGACAAAAGUAUUUAUCAAGAAAAUAAUCAGCAGAUUCAUUGACAAUAAAACCAUCAGUAUUUCUUAAAGUAUCAGUUUGGUAUCGGUACCAAAACUUGUGUAUUAUAUCAGCGCUAGUAUUGAAACGUUUUAAAUGAUACCCAGCCCUACUGGUUAAUCCAUCGGCAGAAUAUUAAACAAUAAUAAUCAAUUAAUCCUUUAAAUCAUUCUUCAACAUUCACAGACUCUCAACUGUUGCUGCUUUACGUUGUAAUCUGAAUAUCUUUGAGACAGAUGAAGAUAUUGUGAUGGGUGUUUUUCACCAUAUUCUACCUUUUAUAAAUUAACGGUUAAUCAGUUAAUAAAAAAAAUAACAAUUUGGAGAUUAAUAGUUAAAUAAUUGUCACUUACAGCACUAUACUAUACUCUUACUGGAGAUAUUCUACGAUUUAGAUUUUCCUCAAUAAAUCCGUACAAAAAAACUAAAACAACAAUGUGUAAGUUUGUCUCUCAAAACUUUCUGAUUUCCCGUCUUUGACUCUUUAUUUGGGGUAAAUCAACAGAUAAUUAAAAUAGA